GAUGAACGCUGGCGGCGUGCCUAAUACAUGCAAGUCGAGCGAACGGACGAGAAGCUUGCUUCUCUGAUGUUAGCGGCGGACGGGUGAGUAACACGUGGAUAACCUACCUAUAAGACUGGGAUAACUUCGGGAAACCGGAGCUAAUACCGGAUAAUAUUUUGAACCGCAUGGUUCAAAAGUAAAAGACGGUCUUGCUGUCACUUAUAGAUGGAUCCGCGCUGCAUUAGCUAGUUGGUAAGGUAACGGCUUACCAAGGCAACGAUGCAUAGCCGACCUGAGAGGGUGAUCGGCCACACUGGAACUGAGACACGGUCCAGACUCCUACGGGAGGCAGCAGCAGGGAAUCUUCCGCAAUGGGCGAAAGCCUGACGGAGCAACGCCGCGUGAGUGAUGAAGGUCUUCGGAUCGUAAAACUCUGUUAUUAGGGAAGAACAUAUGUGUAAGUAACUGUGCACAUCUUGACGGUACCUAAUCAGAAAGCCACGGCUAACUACGUG
rnacentral:rRNA from 1 species